UUCUGCUGAGUUGAAGGGAUCCUCCUGUCAGACAACCUCUCCAAAGUACAAUAGGACUAGGUUCCUACAACAAGGAUUAGAUUUGGCUACUGCAGUCCCGGUUUGGACCAGCCUCACUUGUGAAGAUUAAAGAUGAAGACAACAUACAAGAACAAUUUAGAGAAUGGCAACACACUUUUUAUUCCACCUAUUUAUCCCCUUUUAUGUG